CUGUUCUGACAUUUUAAAUUUGGAAUCCUUAUUAGACUUCAAAUAGAGAUGACAAGUAGUUAAGUUGAGAACUCCAGAUGUAGAUGAGAGGUAGAGACGUAAAUUUGGGAUGGUAAUGUACGUAUGCUAAUCAAAGACAUGCGGCUCUGUGAGAUUAUACAGGACGGAAAGUAAGGCAGGCGAGAGAAGAGGACCCAGCGCUGAACCCUGACGUGGUUCGUUCACAGGUCAGGCAGCAGAGGCACAGCCAGAAAUCCAAACGGAAACAGUCGUUGAAAAAGGAGGGGGAAUAGGAGAGUACGUCUUUAAAAAACAGUAACAGCUUUCAUCUUGGGGGAAAUAUCAUGUACCAGGCACAUUUAAUACCAUUUAUCUGUUAGUAUUAACCCCUCAAUCCCCACAGCAGCCACAUGAUGUAGGUAAACACAGAAUCAGCAUCAAAAGAUAUUAAAGACAUAGAUUUUGCAACAUUGAAAGAGAAAUACAAGAUAAUUAUUUCAUUCAUAAAGAAUUUUACAGGGCUAGAAUGCAGUGGCGUAACUGAGGGCACCAUCUCUCGGCUCACAACAACCCCCUGCCUCCCAGGUUCAAGCAAUACCCCUGUCUCAGCCUCCCGGUUAGCUGGGAUUACUUCUUUUACCACACUUCAUUAUUGCUCUCAGUUCCUUCAGCCAUACAGAAGUUUGGUUUACCUGUCUUUUUCCUUUCAAACAUUUGUGAAGCUUUAGUAACCACAUUUGAUAUGAUUCUGGGAUGUGGGUUUGGUAUUUAGAAUUCAUACUUUUGUGAAAUGGAGAUUAAUAAAAACAGAGUAGUGACUACUCA
rnacentral:lncRNA from 13 species